rnacentral:rRNA from 1 species
GAUGAACGCUAGCGGGAGGCCUAACACAUGCAAGCCGAGCGGUAUUGUUUCUUCGGACAUGAGAGAGCGGCGUACGGGUGCGGAACACGUGUACAACCUGCCUUUAUCUGGGGGAUAGCCUUUCGAAAGGAAGAUUAAUACUCCAUAACAUAUUGAACGGCAUCGUUCGAUAUUGAAAGCUCCGGCGGAUAGAGAUGGGCACGCGCAAGAUUAGCUAGUUGGUGAGGUAACGGCUCACCAAGGCGAUGAUCUUUAGGGGGCCUGAGAGGGUGAUCCCCCACACUGGUACUGAGACACGGACCAGACUCCUACGGGAGGCAGCAGUGAGGAAUAUUGGUCAAUGGGUGCAAGCCUGAACCAGCCAUCCCGCGUGAAGGACGACUGCCCUAUGGGUUGUAAACUUCUUUUGUAUAGGGAUAAACCUGCCCUCGUGAGGGUAGCUGAAGGUACUAUACGAAUAAGCACCGGCUAACUCCGUG